UACGAAGGGGGCUAGCGUUGCUCGGAAUCACUGGGCGUAAAGCGCACGUAGGCGGAUUGUUAAGUCAGGGGUGAAAUCCUGGAGCUCAACUCCAGAACUGCCUUUGAUACUGGCGAUCUCGAGUCCGGAAGAGGAGAGUGGAAUUCCUGGUGUAGCGGUGAAAUGCGCAGAUAUCAGGAAGAACACCCGUGGCGAAGGCGGCUCUCUGGGACGGUACUGACGCUGAGACGCGAAAGCGUGGGGAGCGAACAGG
rnacentral:rRNA from 1 species